GAGUUCUCUAGGUUAGCAUAUUAAAAAGGUGAAAUUUACAUUAAAAACUUUUUAGUUUUACCUUACCAAAUUAAGGAUCCUUAUUUCCUUUAUGUCAAAGCAGAUAAUCACGAAGACCUGACAUCUAUGGGGGUCUGAUCCAAGCAGGGCUGUGGUCAUUGCUCCCUGGACACUGCAUUGCAUAUGAGAUAGAGGGUCUGCUAAGCCAGCUGCUGAAGGAAGACUUUAUUUCCCAGGGGAAAUUCUAGCACAUCUGGGGCACUGUGGUCCUCACACUUGGUUUGGAUUCUCUUCCUGAUGACGGACGUCUGCUUUCUGGCAAGGAUGAAGACGCCAAGGCAAUGACACCUGACAGUCAUAUAGCUGAUAAGGAACAGCGCCAGGACCCAGAGCCAGGCAGUGUGACUGAGCAAGAGUCUGUGCUUUUAACGACUAGGUUUUGCUAGCCCAAAGCACAUACUUGAUACAC
rnacentral:lncRNA from 10 species